rnacentral:rRNA from 1 species
AUUGAACGCUGGCGGCAUGCCUUACACAUGCAAGUCGAACGGCAGCACGGGGCAACCUGGUGGCGAGUGGCGAACGGGUGAGUAAUGCAUCGGAACGUACCUUUCAGUGGGGGAUAACGUAGCGAAAGUUACGCUAAUACCGCAUAUUCUGUGAGCAGGAAAGCAGGGGAUCGCAAGACCUUGCGCUGAUUGAGCGGCCGAUGUCAGAUUAGCUAGUUGGUGAGGUAAAGGCUCACCAAGGCGACGAUCUGUAGCGGGUCUGAGAGGAUGAUCCGCCAAACCGGAACUGGGACACGGUCCAGAAUCCUACGGGGGGCAGCAGUGGGGAAUUUUGGACAAUGGGGGCAACCCUGAUCCAGCCAUGCCGCGUGAGUGAAGAAGGCCUUCGGGUUGUAAAGCUCUUUCGGCCGGGAAGAAAUCGCACGGGCUAAUACCCUGUGUGGAUGACGGUACCGGAAUAAGAAGCACCGGCUAACUACGUGCCAGCCGCCGCCGUAACAC